rnacentral:rRNA from 1 species
UGGGGAAUUUUGCACAAUGGGCGCAAGCCUGAUGCAGCGACGCCGCGUGAGGGAUGGAGGCCUUCGGGUUGUAAACCUCUUUCGCUCAUGGUCAAGCCGCAACUGUGGUUGUGGUGAGGGUAGUGGGUAAAGAAGCGCCGGCUAACUACGUGCCAGCAGCCGCGGUAAUACGUAGGGCGCGAGCGUUGUCCGGAAUUAUUGGGCGUAAAGGGCUUGUAGGCGGUUUGUCGCGUCUGCCGUGAAAUUCCCUGGCUUAACUGGGGGCGUGCGGUGGGUACGGGCAGGCUUGAGUGCGGUAGGGGAGACUGGAAUUCCUGGUGUAGCGGUGGAAUGCGCAGAUAUCAGGAGGAACACCGGUGGCGAAGGCGGGUCUCUGGGCCGUUACUGACGCUGAGGAGCGAAAGCAUGGGGAGCGAACAGG